CGGUACGGAUAAACACUAAGUUACCGUCAAGGACGGUCAAGUCAACAACUGUAUUUUAAUAAUGUGGUACGAGCUUUUGCCCUUCAUGGGCUUAAUGGCAGCAUGUACCGUGGCAGUACAAUAUAUCCAUAUUCCAUUUAAUUAUGCUAAGACUGGACAUCUCAGAAAUAAUAAAUGGCCAAGACACAUGCAGGAUGCUGCUAUAAUGGGAAGAGAUAUUUCUUUGACAGGGAGCCCACACAAACCUUUGGGCCUUGAAACCAUCCCAGAUGAGGAGUAAAUAAAGCAAAAUGAUGAACAAUAACUAAACAUUUAAAAUGCAAAUUGUAAAACUACUUGUUGGAAACUAUGUAAAAAAAAUACGGAUGAGAAGUAAAAACAAACAGUCUGAAGAGCCAGAUUUGCAUGAAUAGCCGACAUUUCGUGUAUUAUAUAGAUCUUUAUUCUAUGUUUUUUAAUUAUAUUAGAUAAUGAGUGAAUAAAUCUUGUUUCUCUUUUAGGGUAUUUGAGCCGCACCAUGAGAAAACCAGCAAAGUGCAUUUGCGACCAGCAUGGAUCCAGAACAGCCUGCGUAUCUGCGCAGUCUAGUCAGGAUCCAUGCUGUUUGCUAAUGGUUUCUCAAAUUGCAAUAGGCUUUGAAAGCGAACAGCAUGGAUCCUGACCAGACUGUGCGAAUGCGCAGGCUGGUCUGGAUCCAUGCUGGUCGCAAACACACUGUGUUGGUUUUCUCAUGAAGCGGCUCAUUUCUACUAUGUUUCAGGAUAUCAUCAUACUUUGCCUUACUUUGUUGUAGUUAUACCCCCACCAAACAUGUUUGGAGGGGGGUAUAUAGGAGUCGGUUUUGUCGCGUCCCGAAAUCUAUUAUCUCAGUUAUUACUAAAUGGAUUUGAUUCAAACUUAAAAUAGAUGUUCCACCUUAUCACCCACAUCAUGUGACACAAGGUGCAUAACUCUGACACCAAGUUUUCAUGAAUUAUGUCCCCUUUUACUUAGAAUUUAAGGUUAAUUUUGUUGUAUUUUCACUAUAUCUCAGUUAUUACUACAUGGAUUUGAUACAAACUUAAAACAGUUGUUCCACCUCAUCACCCACAUCAUGUGACAUAAGGUGCUUAACUCUGACAUCAAUUUUUUAUGAAUUAUGUCCCCUUUUUACUUUAAAUUUAAGGUUGAUUUUGAUGCAUUUUCACUAUAUCUCAGUUAUUACAAAAUGGAUUUGAUUCAAACUUAAAAUAGAUGUUCCACCUCAUCACCCACAUCAUGUGACACAAGGUGCAUAACUAUGACAACAAUUUUUCUUGAAUUAUGUCCCCUUUUACUUAGAAUUUAAGGUUAAUUUUGAUGUAUUUUCAUUAUAUCUCAUUCUGAUUGGCUUAGAGCCAAAGGGAAGUAACCUUUUUUUUUAUCCCCCCACCAAAGGUGAAGGGGAUAUUAGAAAUGCUCUCCGUCCGUGCGUCCGUCUGUCCGUCCGUCCGUCCGUCCGUCCGUGCGUCCGCAACGAUAUUUGUCCGGAGCAUAACUCCAAAAGUACUUGAGGGAUUUUCUUCAAACUUCAUACACUGAUAGAACACAUUGGGAGGAAGUGCAGUGUGCAAGAACAAUAACUCUACCUUGCCUAUUUUUUGAGUUAUUCCCCUUUAUCUUAUUUUCUUAAAAAAAUUUGUCCGGAGCAUAACUCCAAAAGUACUGGAAGGAUUUUCUUCAAACUUCAUACACUGAUAGAACACAUUGGGAGGAAGUGCAGUGUGCAAGAACAAUAACUCUACCUUGCCUAUUUUUUGAGUUAUUCCCCUUUAUCAUAUUUUCUUAAAACAUUUUGUCCGGAUCAUAACCCCAAAAGUACUGGAGGAUUUUCUUCAAACUUCAUACACUGAUAGAACACAUUGGGAGGAAGUGCAGUGUGCAAGAACAAUAACUCUACCUUGCCUAUUUUUUGAGUUAUUCCCCUUUAUCAUAUUUUCUUAAAGAAAUUUGUCCGGAGCAUAUCUUCUUCAUGCAUGGAGGGAUUUUGAUAUAUCUUGGCACAAAUGUUUACCACCACGAUGCGGAGUGUCAUACGCAAGAACUAGGUCCCUAGGUCUAAGGUCAAGGUCACACUUAGAGGUCAAAGGAUACAAGAAUAAAAACCUUGUCCGGAGCAUUUCUUCUUCAUGCAUUGAGGGAUUUUGAUAUAACUUGGCACAAAUGUUUACCACCACGAGACGGAGUGUCAUGCGCAAGAUCCAGGUCACUAGGCCUAAGGUCAAGGUCACACUUAGAGGCCAAAGGUCAGAUACAAGAAUGACUUUGUCCGAAGCAUUUCUUCUUCAUGCAUGGAGGGAUUUUGAUGUAACUUGGCACAAUUAUACACCAUCAUGAGACGAAGUGUCAUGCGCAGUUCCCUUCUUUAGAAUUACUUCCCUUUGUUGUUACUUUAAAUAGCUUUUAUUGUAACUUUUUCAUUACUAGUCGUAGGGAAAAAUCGAGACCACUUUUCUGUAGUACAACAAACAUGCUAAAUCCAAUUUUGAGGUGUAUUUUGACCAGUCUCUUCCUGAUAAAGAUUUUUGUGUGGACUUGCAAUUUUUUUUUUUUUUUUUUUUUUUUUUUUUAAAGAACUUCCCUUAGUUGUUACUAUAAAUAACUUAUAUUGUAACAUUUUUAUAAUUGACCCUAGGGAAAAAACAAGACCACUUUUCUGUGGUACAGCAUAGAUGUUACUCUCCAGUUUUAGGUGUAUUUUAUUAAUUUUAUUAUAUAUAAGGUAUCUCUACCUAGUAAGGAGUGGACUUUAAAAAACAAAAGACUUACAAUGAUUACUAAACAACCACAAAAUUAACAUUCCAUUUGCAAAUACAGCUGCUAGAGUAAAGAAAUUUGCUUUGACGGGCAUAUAUUGUGACAUUCUGGCACUCUUGUUCCCUGUUAGCUUUCCAUUCCUUCUUUUUACAGUAGCCAUAUAGAAAAACAUCAUAGUUAUACUCUUCAUGAAAAUUAGUAAAAUUUAGCAGUAAACCACCUCA